rnacentral:rRNA from 1 species
CCUACGGGAGGCAGCAGUGGGGGAUAUUGCACAAUGGGGUAACCCCUGAUGCAGCGACGCCGCGUGGGCGAAGAAGUAUUUCUGUAUGUAAAGCCCUAUCAGCCGGGAAGAAGAAAUGACGGUACCUGAGUAAGAAGCACCGGCUAAAUACGUGCCAGUAGCCGCGGUAAUCAGGAUGGUGCAAGCGUUAUCCGGAUUUACUGGGGGUAAAGGGAGCGCAGGCGGCACGGCAAGCCUGAUGGGAAAGCCCGCGGCCCAACCGCGGCACUGCAUUGGGAACUACCGGGCUGGAGUGCCGGAGAGGUAGGCGGAAUGCGUAGUGUAGCGGUGAAAUGCGUAGAUAUUAGGAGGAACACCAGUGGCGAAGGCGGCCUACUGGACGGUGACUGACGCUGAGGCUCGAAAGCGUGGGGAGCAAACAGGAUUAGAUACCCUGGUAGUC